GUGUGUGGAGGUGGUGUAGUGGUGUGUGGAGGUGGUGUGGAGGUGGUGUAGUGGGGUGUGGAGGUGUGUAGUGGUGUGUGGAGGUGGUGUGGAGGUGGUGUAGUGGUGUGUGGAGGCGUGUAGUGGUGUGUGGAGGUGGUGUAGUGGGGUGUAGUGGUGUGUGGAGGUGUGUAGUGGGGUGUAGUGGUGUGUGGAGGUGUGUAGUGGGGUGUAGUGGUGUGUGGAGGUGUGUAGUGGUGUGUGGUGGUGUGUGGAGGUGUGUAGUGGUGUGUGGAGGUGGUGUAGUGGUGUGUGGAGGUGUGUAGUGGGGUGUGGAGGUGGUGUAGUGGGGUGUGGAGGCGUGUGGAGGUGGUGUAGUGGUGUGUGGAGGUGGUGUAGUGGGGUGUGGAGGUGUGUAGUGGUGUGUGGAGGUGGUGUAGUGGUGUGUGGAGGUGUGUAGUGGUGUGUGGAGGUGGUGUAGUGGUGUGUGGAGGCGUGUGGAGGUGGUGUAGUGGUGUGUGGAGGCGUGUGGAGGUGGUGU
ensembl:lncRNA